rnacentral:lncRNA from 1 species
CCCACAAUAAUUAAAGAAACCUAUACUAUACCGACCUUAAUCCAGAGCUCAUGCAAAGCCAUACAACCGCUGAGAUUUUUCGUCGGGGUCAGGCUUUGGCACAGCUAGCCAUAGAGGAUCGUGUGGCGGCCCUGCCAUGAAGGGGACAGGUGAGGGCCGGCCGUUUAGACGAGACGAGACGAGCCGAUAAUAAUGCUGGCACUGGGCACCGUUAGAUUAGCAUUAGCAUUACCAAAUCCAAAUGGACCGCGCGGGGGUUCUAGCUAAUCAUUUCGGCUGGAUGCAUGGGCGGACAAGCUAGCUAGCUAGUCCUCACAUCCUUUCUUUAUCUCUCUCUCUCAUCUAUCUCCAUCGUUUCCUACUAAACCUUUAUUAUUCUCUCUCCGACAGAGCUACAGUACCGGGGCUAACAUGCAUGCAGUGAUGCAGGGUCCAUUAUGCAGAUCGAUUGAUGGAUGAGACCAAGCAGAGUAGAUAACAUUAACAUGGACGCCCACGUUGACCAAGUCAGAGCGAUCAUGACCAGCUGAUCCACUGAUUGGACUGGAUCAGGCAAAGCAAAAUGCCAACUUGCUACUGGCAGUUCUUUUUUUUUUCUUUUUUUUUUGAAACAAACGGUAGCAGUUUUUUCAUCAGGGUUUUUUCUUUAAUAUAAAAUGUGGCCUGGUGUGUCGUCGUGUCCGUGGAUGCCACUAAUUAUUAGAAUCAGCUACCCUACUGUGACUGUGAGUAUCAACUGAUUAAUAAGUUAGUCGUCGUCGUCGUCACUACGUUCGUUAUCAUAGCUAAUAGCAUUUGAAGGAUGGAUGGAAUAAUCGUCCCAGCUCGUGGGCGAUUUGAGCGGCGCGGACAGAUUAAUUAGGACAUAUAUUAGUGAGGAAUAGAACGAACGACGAAUAUGACGUGCGACGUGCGUGCGUGAGGGACGACUACUACUUUGCAGUCGCUGCUAUAUAGCCAAAUUAGUGGACGUCUUAACCUCUUAUUAUGAGUGCGCGCCUUCCCGUUGAAUCGUGCUGUCUGCUAGCUAGUGCGCGUUUUGGCUUUUUUAUUUUACCCCGUGUCCACUUCACGCGUGGGCUAUGUCGCCGGAGUGGUGAGGCGACAGGCCGGGCACCGCCGGCCGUGGAAGGAGAAAGACGUCGGUUGUUGGACCCAGUGAAAUUAAAGGCAGGGUUGGCCACGACCACAAGAAUGGCCCGUUGGCGACGACACAUUUAGCACUUGCUUUAUUUUUUUCCUUAUUAUGAAAUCCUAUACGUACGACUCAUUUGAAUUUUUGGGGGUUCUAAACCGAUUUUGAAGCAUGCAUCUUGCAUAUAUAUAUAUAUAUAUAUGCUCGUGAUCUAGGCUGUAACUUGCGUAUGCAAUGCAACGGUUUGCAACGUCAGGUUGGCAAGGACAUAUUAGCGUACCUCCGAGCUAGAGAAGAGAUGCCUUGCGUGGCACCUGCGUCCUCCUAAUAUAAUCAGCUAAUGGUAAGAGCUUAUUCGUUUGUUUUAUAAACCGUAUUUUUUCUAUUAGCUAACAGUAUUUUUUUCAGCGAAUUAGCAUUAGACGGUAAGUGAUCAGAGAGAUGUGUACGUGCAUCGACCUUUAAAAAGUUUCUUCAGAACCUAAUUUGCUCGUUAACCAAAACAACUAAGCAAAGCUCUGAUCGUAACCUGAUCUUAAUCAACCAUCG